GCUCUAGCCGUGCUCAACGCUAGCAUACCGGCAAGGCACCACAUGACACCACAAACACGGUAAAUCCUGCACCUCCGAACACCACCAUAACAAUAACACGGCAGCAGCACCAACUGGACCGGCUAUGGCAAAAAAAAUAAUUUUUACCUCAAGAAAAAGAACUACUGGACGGCACUGACGACCAAGCCGUAACCCACAUCUCGAUGAAUGGAGCAUCCUCCAUCGGAAAACGUAGGGGGCCUUCCGCGAAGGACUAAUAUGCGAGGUACCAACAAAAACCUCCAUAGACCAAAAGUAUGCCUAAAAAUAAAGCGCCAGACUAUGCUUAGUCGAAAUAAGCCUGGAUACCAAGAUCCACCGGGCAAUAUCCGGGUCAAAAACAUGUGUGGCCAAAACACUCCUUGGAGCAUAACAUGUGCCAAAGUU